rnacentral:rRNA from 1 species
AUUGAACGCUGGCGGCAGGCCUAACACAUGCAAGUAGAGCGAGCGGCGGACGGGUGAGUAAUGUAUGGGGACUGCCCGAUAGAGGGGGAUCACUACUGGAAACGGUAGCUAAUACCGCAUACUAUCGGAUAACCCAUAUGGGAUUGGCUAGUAGGUGAGGUAAUGGCUCACCUGGGCGACGCUCCCUAGCUGGUCUGAGAGGAUGAUCAGCAACAUGGGGACGGAGACACGGCCCAGCUGCUGAGGGAGGCAGAGGGGGGGAAUAUUGCACAAGGGGCGCAAGCCUGAUGUAGCCAGGCCGCGUGUAUGAAGAAGGCCCGAGGGUGGUAAAGUACGUUCAGGCGGGAGGCGUUACCGAAAGAGGAAGCACCGGCUAACUCCGUGCCAGCCGCCGCGGUAAUAC